rnacentral:rRNA from 1 species
UACGUAGGGGGCAAGCGUUGUCCGGAAUUAUUGGACGUAAAGAACGUGUAGGCGGCCAGAUAAGUCCGCUGUGAAAUCUCGAGGCUCAACUUCGAGCUGUCGGUGGAAACUAUCUGGCUAGAGUCCGGAAGAGGAGAAUGGAAUUCCUGGUGUAGCGGUGAAAUGCGCAGAUAUCAGGAAGAACACCCGUGGCGAAGGCGGUUCUCUGGGACGGUACUGACGCUGAGACGCGAAAGCGUGGGGAGCGAACAGG